ACUCCCCAGAUACCUUGCCCUUCAGAUCUAAAUGUUGGUCUGAGUGACUGAAAAAGGAGGAAAAGUAAACGUGAAGUGGACCUGGAGUCCUCAGUGACAUACAGAUUCAUUAUAAAAACAC
rnacentral:snoRNA from 1 species